ACAUGCCUACAACAUAGUGUUAAAGCACUGUAUCUCAUUAAAACUCUGUAGUUAAGCGUGCUCAAGGUAGAGUAGUACUCGGAUGGGUGAUCGCCCGAGAAGUCCUAGUGUUUUACAUGCC
rfam:Picea glauca, whole genome shotgun sequence.